rnacentral:rRNA from 1 species
AGCGAACGCUGGCGGCAGGCCUAACACAUGCAAGUCGAACGGAUCCUUCGGGAUUAGUGGCGGACGGGUGAGUAACACGUGGGAACGUGCCCUUUGGUUCGGAACAACUCAGGGAAACUUGAGCUAAUACCGGAUGUGCCCUUCGGGGGAAAGAUUUAUCGCCAUUGGAGCGGCCCGCGUCUGAUUAGCUAGUUGGUGAGGUAAAGGCUCACCAAGGCGACGAUCAGUAGCUGGUCUGAGAGGAUGAUCAGCCACAUUGGGACUGAGACACGGCCCAAACUCCUACGGGAGGCAGCAGUGGGGAAUCUUGCGCAAUGGGCGAAAGCCUGACGCAGCCAUGCCGCGUGAAUGAUGAAGGUCUUAGGAUUGUAAAAUUCUUUUACCAGGGACGAUAAUGACGGUACCUGGAGAAAAAGCCCCGGCUAACUUCGUGCCAGCAGCCGCCGUAAGAC